rnacentral:rRNA from 1 species
AAAAGUGAAAGACGGUCUUGCUGUCACUUAUAGAUGGAUCCGCGCUGCAUUAGCUAGUUGGUAAGGUAACGGCUUACCAAGGCAACGAUGCAUAGCCGACCUGAGAGGGUGAUCGGCCACACUGGAACUGAGACACGGUCCAGACUCCUACGGGAGGCAGCAGUAGGGAAUCUUCCGCAAUGGGCGAAAGCCUGACGGAGCAACGCCGCGUGAGUGAUGAAGGUCUUCGGAUCGUAAAACUCUGUUAUUAGGGAAGAACAUAUGUGUAAGUAACUGUGCACAUCUUGACGGUACCUAAUCAGAAAGCCACGGCUAACUACGUGCCAGCAGCCGCGGUAAUACGUAGGUGGCAAGCGUUAUCCGGAAUUAUUGGGCGUAAAGCGCGCGUAGGCGGUUUUUUAAGUCUGAUGUGAAAGCCCACGGCUCAACCGUGGAGGGUCAUUGGAAACUGGAAAACUUGAGUGCAGAAGAGGAAAGUGGAAUUCCAUGUGUAGCGGUGAAAUGCGCAGAGAUAUGGAGGAACACCAGUGGCGAAGGCGACUUUCUGGUCUGUAACUGACGCUGAUGUGCGAAAGCGUGGGGAUCA